GCAAGGAGACGGGCACAGAGAAACAUAGAAACAGAAACGUGAAUCUUCUUCUCCUUUCCUUUGUUUUCCAAAAACAAAACUAAAACUAUAAAACACAAACCCCCAUUUAUUUACUAGAUCUAAGAUUCCAUUCGAGAAGUGGCAGAAGAGAAAGUUGCUCAUCGCCACGCUGCGGUGCUAGUGAUCUAGUUUUCGACGCGACGUCACAAACUUAAAUUUUACCGGAAUUAAUUACGGUACCGUAAUUGCGUGUUAGAGCUAUCGUUAAGGUAAGGGCUCCUUCCAAACUUUUAGUUUGCAUUUAGGACAUUAUUUGUGAUUUUGUGGAAAAGAAAUUUGAUGUAUUUGAUGUGUGAUUUUGUGAAAAAUGAAUUUAAUUAGUUUAUGUGUGAUUUAGUUGAAAUUUAAUUUAGUUUGUUUUGAGUUCUGUUUUGUAGUGAUUGAAUCCCAUAAUAUCCACUGUUAGUUAUUUAGUUAUUUAUUUAUCUACUGAUUGGUUAUGAAAUUGGGACUAUGAGUAACAUGUUUGUGUUUUGAAUUCAUGGUUAGAGUUUUUAUAUUUCCGAAAUUGGGGAUUUUGUGAUUAUGCAAUUGUGGAUUUUUAUAUAUCCAAGAUUGGUACAUAUUUCUUUUGUAUCUAUUUGAUUGUUGUUGAUUUCAACACAUUGUUGUGUUGUUGAUAUAUUUUGAGGUCUUGCUUUUGCAUGGUGACAGUGACAUUUUGGAAUUGUUGUUGAAUUAACUAUGAGUUUGUUGUGGGAUAUGACUGACCAAACCCAUACAAGCUGAAUCAGUGCGUUACUUGGUUUGUUCAAUUUUGCUGGUUUUUUUUAUUAAAGAAAAAUGGGCAUGAAUAACUGAAAAUUACAAUUUUGUGUGUUGUGUUGUUGUAUGUAUUAAAAACUUCAGAAAUAUCUUAGUUCCUGAAUGAGCAAUAUGAUAGAGUUUCUAAAUGGAAAUAGUCUGGAGUGCUUGGAGUUAGUAUUGUAGAAGGUAGUGUGCUCAAGUUAAGGGGAUCAAUCAAAUGCAAGUGUGUGGAGAUGGGUUUGAAGGUUAUUUUUUUUGACAAGACGGUUUGAAGGUUUUUAAGAAAUGAAGAAUGGAGUUUACUUUAUUGUGUAUAAUUGUUGCUGUUUUUUUUUAGAUUUGUGAAGCAGGACAUGGAGAUAAAUUAUUUUGGGUUCAAUUUUUUAAUAAAGAUUUUGCUUCUUAAAAUAAAAUGUUGUCUGAUGUGUCCAAAAUUGGUGGUUGUUGUUGCUAUUGAUGUUACCAAAUGAGCAAAAAGAUAGAUUGAAAUUAAAAAUGGUUAGAGUUUAAAAUGUUACUCUUUUAAUUACUCUUGGACUGACUUUAAAAAGAAAAAAAAAGGGUUUAAAAAGUUUAGAGUAUUUUAUUAACUUAAAAAUUUCGGUGCUUUAAUAGUCGAGUAUGUGUAUGUGAAAUUUGGACAAUAUUUGUUUUAUUCAGUUUUAAGUAAAUAAUAUAGAUUAUUUGGUUUUAAAAGUUUGGUGUGUGAGAAAGAUUUAAUUUUAGGAAUUUUGUUGUGUGUGGAUUAAUUUUAUUGUGAACAAAUUGUUAUAAAUAUUUAUGUUUAUGUAGUUAGCUCCUUGAGUCUCGAAAAGGAAUCGAGACCGUUGGCACCGAGUUAGCGGUGGGGAGAACUUUGGUAUAUUAAUGUUGUUGUGGUGAUUUAUGGUUGAAAAUUUUGAAGAUUGAAUAUGGGUGAUUAAUGUUUGGAAAUUUUGGUGAUUCAUGUUUGGUGAAAUUGAUGUGUUCAUAAUUAAUAUUAUGAAUUUUUUUUUAGAAGAAAUUUAUGUGUGACUUGGUGGAAAAUGAAUUUAAUUCAAUUUAGGUGUGAAUGGAAUUUGGAGUUGUGAUUUAUGUGUGGUUGUAGAAAUUUUAAUUGGUGUGAAUAAAUAUGUUUGAGUAUGCUCUGUGUUGUGUUUGAAAAAAAUCAUUAGUGUUAAAUGAGUAUUAAAAAUGAGGAAUCUUUUAAUAGCUGCAUUUACUUAAUGAUAAUGGUGAAAAGAAUUAGAGUAUGCUCAUGCAUUUCAUAGUACAUGGUGACCGCGAUGGGGCCAUGGUGAUAGUGGUGACCAUAAUGGGUCACAGGAUGAUGCCAUGUGAAUUGUUGGUUCAUCUUAUCCUUGCGGGGAUUAUCGCGUCGUGCUGAUCUAUGAGAGAUUACACUCUAGAAUAUGCUGAUCUGUGAGCGAUUGCACUCUAGAAAAUCGUGAUGGUCAGUGAGAGACUGCACGCUAGUAAAUUGUGCUGGUCUGUGAGUGACUGCACUCUUGUAUGUCGUGCUGGUCUGUGAGAGACUGCACGCUAGUAAAUCGUGGAUCCGUGAGAGAGAUUGCACCUUGGUAAUUAGUACUGGUCUGUGAGAGGCUGUACAAUUAUGAUUUACGCC
rnacentral:lncRNA from 1 species